CUGGCUAUGCAGGAGCACCUCUCAACCCUGGCGGCACUGGUCUGGCAAACUCCACUGAAGACUAUACCAUGUGGCUGAAAACUCCGGAAAUAAGCUAACUCCAUGUUGUAAAUGUCCCCAAAAGGAGUUGGUGAAUUUUUUCCCUCUGACUCGGUGCCCCCUCUUCAGCUCCCCAUUGUGUCGGCCCAUUGCGGACAGUGUGUUUCCUUCCCGUCUUUGUUUAGGUUCCCCAUAUGAAUCCAAUAAACAGGGAUCAUUGCCUUAAGAUGGAUGAUGUACUUUGUAGACAAGAGGAAAAAGAAAUGUGUGUGUGUGUGUGUGUGUGUGUGUGUGAUGUGUGUGAAAAUUCUUGAAAUGCCUUCAGUAGGUAAAUUACUCUAAGUACAGAUUCCUUCUCCGAACCUGACUCCAACGUGGCAGGGACACCAGCUGUGAUGUGAGAAGUGACAUAACAUUAAACAGUGGCAGUGUUUGAGAGGCAUUUUUAGUCCCCGUGAGAUGUCAUACAUCCCGGUGUUUACUCUGGAGAAAAAAAUACUACAAAAACAUCAUAAACAUACGUUUAAAUGUCUUUUCAGAUGAGACUCGAUUUAACCUUUGACAACAUGUGGCAGUAAAGUGUAUCCCGUAGCUAAAGCCUUCAGUAGUGUUAGUUUACGCUGCUGAUUUAUGCUCCAGGCAGGUAUUUGCAGUAGUUUUCUAUCUAUGUCUGACUUGAAAGGAGUUGUAAUAAAUCAACUGGCUCUCU